AAACUUUCAACAACGGAUCUCUUGGUUCUGGCAUCGAUGAAGAACGCAGCGAAAUGCGAUAAGUAAUGUGAAUUGCAGAAUUCAGUGAAUCAUCGAAUCUUUGAACGCACAUUGCGCCCUCU
rnacentral:rRNA from 1 species